GAGUGUGAGAGAGAAAAGCGCUUCAGUAGCGAGAGGGGCUGAGAAAGUGGUGACACCGCCGGGGUGCGGAGGGAGUCCCUGAAACUUCUCCCAACAGCCCCAGGGCCAAUCUCCCCUCAGCCCACUCCCCUCUUCGCCAGCUCCCAGGUCCCCACUCCCUGCACCGGGGGUGGGGUGGGGAGCCGGGCCCGUCUCCCGCUGGGACACACACAGGGGCCGGGAGCGGGGACGGGACCCCCGAGGCGGGGGGGACGGACCGACCGACAGACAGACGGCCGGGCGCCCGCCCCAGCGGGCAGGCAGGCAGGAGGAGGCGGAGGCGGGGGUACGACGGGGAGGACUGGGUCUGGGGAGUUUCCUCUCAACUAUCGGGGGAGAAACUCCCCGCAGCCGGAGGAAAGACCCAGACGGUGUUUUCCUCCCCGGGGCCGCGCUCCCCCGCCCCGCGUAGCGGCGGUAGCUGCCGCCGCCACCGGCGCCUCCACCUCUACCAUCUCCUCUUUCUCCACCACCUCGGGCCCCGGUGUCCCCGGCCAGCACUAUGCCCAUCUUACUGUUCCUGAUAGACACGUCUGCCUCUAUGAACCAGCGCAGCCAUCUGGGCACCACCUACCUGGACACGGCCAAAGGCGCGGUAGAGACCUUCAUGAAGCUCCGUGCCCGGGACCCUGCCAGCAGAGGAGACAGGUAUAUGCUGGUCACUUUCGAAGAGCCACCCUAUGCUAUCAAGGCCGGAUGGAAAGAAAACCAUGCGACGUUUAUGAAUGAACUGAAAAACCUUCAGGCUGAAGGACUUACGACUCUUGGCCAAUCCUUAAGGACAGCUUUUGAUUUAUUAAAUUUAAAUAGAUUAGUAACUGGCAUAGACAACUAUGGGCAGGGACGAAACCCUUUUUUCUUGGAGCCAGCAAUAAUUAUUACAAUUACUGAUGGGAGCAAGCUGACUACUACGAGUGGAGUCCAGGAUGAGCUCCAUUUACCUCUUAAUUCUCCUUUGCCUGGAAGUGAAUUGACCAAGGAACCUUUUCGUUGGGAUCAGAGACUCUUUGCACUAGUGUUGCGGUUGCCUGGCACCAUGUCAGUAGAAACAGAACAGUUGACAGGUGUGCCUUUAGAUGACUCUGCGAUCACACCAAUGUGUGAAGUAACAGGCGGUCGCUCAUACUCUGUAUGUUCUCCAAGAAUGCUUAAUCAGUGUCUGGAGUCUUUGGUGCAGAAAGUGCAAAGUGGGGUGGUAAUAAACUUUGAAAAAGCAGGACCAGAUCCUUCACCUGUAGAAGAUGGUCAGCCAGAUAUAUCAAGACCUUUUGGAUCGCAGCCUUGGCAUAGCUGUCACAAACUCAUAUAUGUCAGACCAAAUCCUAAAACUGGGGUUCCUAUAGGUCAUUGGCCUGUUCCAGAAUCUUUUUGGCCAGAUCAGAAUUCUCCAACACUACCACCUCGCACGUCUCACCCGGUAGUGAAGUUUUCCUGUACGGACUGUGAACCGAUGGUUAUUGACAAAUUGCCUUUUGACAAAUACGAGUUGGAACCUUCACCACUGACUCAAUUUAUCUUGGAAAGGAAAUCUCCUCAAACAUGUUGGCAGGUAUAUGUGAGCAAUAGUGCAAAAUAUAGUGAACUUGGUCAUCCCUUUGGUUACUUGAAAGCCAGUACAGCACUGAACUGUGUCAACUUAUUUGUGAUGCCUUACAAUUACCCAGUCCUCCUUCCUCUUUUAGAUGACUUGUUUAAAGUACAUAAAGCAAAACCAACAUUGAAAUGGAGACAGUCGUUUGAAAGUUAUUUGAAGACAAUGCCUCCCUACUAUCUUGGGCCUUUGAAGAAAGCUGUUAGAAUGAUGGGAGCACCUAACCUAAUAGCAGACAGUAUGGAAUAUGGACUUAGUUACAGUGUCAUUUCAUACCUCAAAAAAUUGAGUCAACAGGCCAAAAUAGAAUCUGAUCGAGUCAUCGGAUCUGUAGGCAAAAAAGUAGUACAGGAAACUGGAAUUAAAGUCCGAAGCCGAUCACAUGGCUUAUCAAUGGCUUAUAGGAAAGAUUUUCAACAGUUGCUCCAGGGGAUUUCAGAAGAUGUUCCUCACAGACUGCUAGACCUUAACAUGAAAGAAUACACUGGCUUCCAGGUUGCUUUGCUCAAUAAGGAUUUGAAACCGCAGACAUUUAGAAAUGCGUAUGACAUACCAAGGCGGAAUCUUUUAGAUCACUUAACAAGAAUGAGAUCUAAUCUUUUGAAGAGCACCCGCAGAUUUCUUAAAGGACAGGAUGAAGAUCAAGUGCACAGUGUUCCUAUAGCACAAAUGGGGAAUUACCAGGAAUACCUCAAGCAAGUACCUUCUCCACUAAGAGAACUUGAUCCUGAUCAGCCUCGAAGGUUGCAUACAUUUGGCAACCCCUUUAAGCUAGAUAAAAAGGGUAUGAUGAUAGAUGAAGCAGAUGAAUUUGUGGCUGGACCUCAAAAUAAACAUAAACGACCUGGAGAACCAAAUAUGCAAGGGAUCCCUAAAAGACGUCGCUGUAUGUCUCCAUUACUAAGAGGCAGACAACAGAAUCCAGUUGUGAAUAAUCAUAUUGGAGGGAAAGGACCACCUGUACCUAUGACUCAAGCACAGCCAGAUCUUAUAAAACCCCUUCCUCUUCAUAAAAUUUCAGAGGCCACUAAUGAUUCGACAAUAGAUGAUGUGGUUGAAAAUCAUGUUGCAGACCAACUUUCAUCAGAUAUUACACCAAAUGCUAUGGAUGCUGAAUUUUCACCUUCUCCAGCCAAUUUACUGGAACGACCAACCAAUCAUACAGAGGCUCUUGGUCAUGACCAUUUAGGAACUAAUGACCUCACCGUUGGUGGAUUUUUAGAAAAUCAUGAGGAACCAAGAGAUAAGGAACAAUGUCCUGAAGAGAAUAUACCAGCAUCUUCACUCAACAAAGGAAAGAAAUUGAUGCAUUGCAGAAGCCAUGAAGAGGUCAACACUGAGCUAAAAGCACAAAUAAUGAAAGAGAUCCGAAAGCCAGGAAGAAAAUAUGAAAGAAUCUUCACGUUACUGAAGCAUGUGCAAGGCAGUUUACAAACAAGACUAAUAUUUUUACAAAAUGUCAUUAAAGAAGCAUCAAGGUUUAAAAAACGAAUGCUAAUAGAACAACUGGAGAACUUCUUGGAUGAAAUUCAUCGAAGAGCCAAUCAGAUCAACCAUAUUAAUAGCAAUUAAAAGAAAACAGAAUGUGGCCACUUGUUUCACUAUCUUCUCCAAAUACAAAAUGAGAAAACUGAAGCCUAAAGAGAUUAGGACACUUGCCCAAGAUGAUGUAAUGAAUACGUGGUGGAACUCAACUCAAAGCAAGGCUGUCUGCAUGCAGAGCCUGUGCUCUUGGCGUCUACCCUUUGCUACCUCCCAUGUCGUGAGACAUCUCACAUAGGUGCAGAAGUUUUUGCUCUUGCCACAUGAAAAAUGCAGGCUGGCUAUAAAGCAGAUCAUGUUAAAUGAUGAAUCAAUGAUCUGCAGAACUAGAGGUAAGUUCUUUUCCAAAACAUGACUUUUGCCUACCAUGGUCCAACAUUUUGUACCCAAAUUUAGACCUAAAACCUCAUUUUAAUUCUUUCUCUAUGUAUUCCUUCAAGGGUUUGAAGUUGUUUCUUUACUUGGUGAAUUUUGCUUGUGAAACAGCCUCAUUUUCCUAAAACCUUCUGGAUGGUAGACUCCAUAGUCUAAGGGAGAUAAAAAAGAAAUAUAUCGGGACAAGGUCAAGUGUUAAUUCAUACUGUGUGUUGUUAUGAUCUCUGCAGCCCCAUCCUGUCCCUGUCUUUGGGGUGUUUCAGAUCAUUCUGAAGGUGGAAUUAGACAGUGGAGACCUCUCGAAGGAGCUGGGCAUCUUGCUGGGGCUUCUUCCUCACAGCAGCUGCUCCAGGAUGAGGACAGCCAUCUGUCCCCUCAUUCUGAAGAGACCGACAGAUUCCUGCACCAGGUUACACUCUCUGUCUACUUUCCACAUCAAAAGCGCCUCUUCCUUCUCUGGGCUUCUCUCAAACAGAACAGAAAGGCUAGGGUUGCUUCUGUUCCCUGCUAGAGAUCUGCUGGCAUCCUGUCUUUCCGCUUUUAUUUGGGGUCCAGAUAUUUGGUUUGGAAAGACACAGGCUUUCUCUUAGAUUUAUGUUCACCUUCUGCCCUGGUUAUGCCAUAUCCCACUUUCGACCUUGGCCUUAACUCACUGGAUCUCUCUUUGUGUGUUUUUAUUUCAGAGUCUGGGCUUAUUUUUAACUCCUCGAAGGAGCACUGCCAAGACCACUGGCCCAGUGGUGCUGAGGGCCUGGACAGCAGAGAAGGCCAAAGUAGCCAGCAGGAAGGAGCAUGAGGAAUCCGUAUCCCAAGCCCUCGCACAACAGUCCUUGUUUGAUACUGGUCUACAAACUAAUUACAAGUUCACUUUGAUUUCAAAUGUACGAGAGAAGCUUAUCACUUAAAGAAUUUCAAUACGGAAUUCUUUGUCAAGUAAUGAGCUUUGCAAAUAAAUUUCGCUUUGGAAAA